rnacentral:sRNA from 17 species
UGUGCCGACGGAUCGGUACCGGCUGACCAGGAUGGCGGCCAAGGACUUCGCAGGAGAGCGAUCCCAUCAGGACGAUGACUCAACGGAAGAAAGGCAGUAUUCCGCGAAGAACGGCGAGAGCGAUCCUCUCGCCGUUUUUUAU